rnacentral:tRNA from 2 species
GGUUCCAUAGUGUAGCUGGUGAUCACAUCGGAUUCUGAUUCCGGUGACCCGAGUUCGAAUCUCGGUGGGACCU